ACGAUGACCUUGAAAAAAGAAUUGCAAUGAAAAACCAUUUGCACCUUUGCAAUAAUAUGACCUUUGAAAUAAUGUAGUUUUAUUGUGAAAAGUUUCUUAUAUAACAAUGUAGAAUUUAGGAUUUCCUAUAUUUAGGUUGCGUGGAGCUGUAGCAAAGAUUGUAAUUAGUAACAAUAUGUAUGUAUUUGGAAUAUGCAAUAAGAUGUGGCCAUCAUAAAAUUAAUAGAGAUGUAUAUGUACAUAUUUGAUUAACGUAUUUUGUAAAAAAAUUUCGAUCUUUUUACAGUUCCUUCAAACAGGUGUAAAAUUACAUCUGAAUAAAUUUAAUUCAUUGAAAAAGCAAGAUUAUAUUAACGUAACGCCUUAAUAUCACUAGAUAUUACCAGAUAUUACAAUGAGUUAACCGCUUGCAUAAAGUCACUGAUUCUUCACAUGUCUGUUUUGGGUUAAGAUUUUCUUUCUAUUUAGUAUAAUGGCUCCUAAACCGAAGCGCACGGACAAGUUAGCCAGUAAACCAGCUGAAAAUAAGAUAGAAAAGAAAAUUGAUAAUGGGUAGAAGUCAAUUAAUGCAACAUCUACAUUUAAGUUACAAAGCCAGCUGUGAAAACAUCCACCACUGCAAAGAAAGCAGCAGCUGCUAAAUCAACAAGUGCUAUGAACUUUGCCUGUAGCGAAACCUAUACUUGCAAAAUCUAAGAAAAAUGUUCAACCUGUGAAAAGAUACAGAAAGGUGAAAAAUCAGCUGUGCCACUUCAGAAGGCAUUUAAAGUUUAGAAAAAGAUAUUGAAAGGUGUUCAUGGAUCAAGAGUAAAGAAAGUAAAGACAUCUGUAUAUUUCUAUUGGACAAAAACAUUUAAGCCACCAAGAAACUCCAAAUAUGUGAGAAAAUUUGUCCCAAAUAGAAACCAGUAAGCAUUAAAUACUGGUGUUAUUUUUAUGUAUCUACUUAUUUAUAUAAAUUUAAUUUUUCAUAUUUUAUAAUAUACAUUAAUCAUAUAAAAUCAAUUCUAAAUAAAAAAUAUCCAAAAUAAUUAUAUUUACCUCAGUUUGGAUGCAUUUAAUAUCAUAAAAUUUCCACUGAUCACUGAAGCUGCCAUGAAAAAGAUUGAAGACAACAACACAAGUUUUUAUUGCACAUACUCCUGCGAAUAAAUAUCAUAUCAAAGCUUCCAUUAAGAAACUGUACUACGUUAAUGUGGCUAAAGUUAAUACUUUAACCUUUUUGCUGUGGAGCGCUCAGGAACGAAUUGCACUUUGGGCAGCUGGUGUGACAGUGGGAGAUCAGCUGCGCUAAUGGCAUGAUGUGUCUGUCGUUCUUAAUAUGAAGCGCGGAGCCCAUUUUGCUUUUCCUUGCGACAAACGAUAAUGUUAAUAAUAAUAGUAAUUUUAAUAAUCUUCAAUAAUCUUUUUUCGUACGAUAUAAUUCGAAACAGGAUUCGAUGCAUAAUCCAACGUUACAGUCUUUACAUUGGAAUCGUGUUUCGAUUCGCAUUUUGUGUUUGCUGCAAACCACACAUUUCCGCCGACCGUUCUGCCGCAUUCCUGUUGGAUUGGUGUAUUUUGAUGGAAAGUGUCUUGAAACCAGUCGUAAGAGGUUAUCUUUGGAUGCAGUUUGGCCUCCAGACUUAUUGCUACAUGUAUUUUCAUUUGGAUAUUUUAGUAGAAUUUCUCGAAUAAGGCAUAAAUGAAACUUCGCAAAUGUUAUAUUUUUCUGGACGUAAUUUUGUAGAGUAUGUAAGUAUUGUAAAUCGAAAGCUCAAGCAUGUGGAAAAAAAUUUCUUAUACCAUUUCAGAGUUUUCUUAAUGAUAUUAAUGGAAUUUAGAAUCAUAUCAGUUUUAUCAACCGCUCCUAUAAUGCGUUUAUAGUCUACUAUGACAUUUGGUUUCAGUAUUGGUGCUCCCAUUUUAACAUCACUUUUCUUUGUUUCUACAUACUCAACCUGAUAACACUAGCACUUCUGUUUUGUCCAUCCAUUUUAGUACUAACAGUUUAUCCGUACACUAAAACGCAACUUCUUCUUUAUAUAAUCUAUUAGAUAUAUUAGGCAUUCCACGUCUGGUUUUCCUUACUGUUCCAAAUGCAUUUGUCUUAUUUUGGUGUAGUAGGGAAAAUAAAGCUGGGCUUGAGUACCAGCUAUCGGUGACCAAAACAUGACCUUUAUUCAGAUACGGUUCCAUCAGCACCAUGACAAUAUUCCCUGAUUUGCCAAAUUCUGCUAAAUGAUUAUUGUUAGUUAUAUUCGUACGUGCUUUAUAAUAGACAAUAAAAUCUUCAAUAUAUCCGGUACGACAGUCAUAAACAACAAACGACUUAAUCUCAAAUUUUCUUUGCUUUGAAGGAAUAAAAUGCUUGGAAAAACAUUGCCCUUUGAAAAGCAGCAAAUUUUCGUCGAUGCAUAAAUGCUGAUAUGGGUAAAAUGAUCAUGAAAAAGAAUUUCGCAGUCUAUCGAUGAUGCUCCGUAUCUUUAUUAGCGCAUCUUGAUUUGUUGUCUCACCGUUAUUGUGAAAGUACAGCAUUUAUAAGAGAGAUAUAUAUCUGUCUUUUUUCAUGAUUCUUGGAAAAUUUUCUGUUCCUAGCAAUUCGUCGGUUGACCAAUAUUCAUCUAUUGAUAAUUUCCUUACUCUUGAGAUUAACAUCGACAGAGCAAAAAAUCGAUAUAUUUCGCUUACUGUAUUUUUCCAUGCAAUCAAUCAUGAGCACUUACUGUGUGAAGUUUUCGUGGUAUAAUAAUUGUUAGUUUUUCCCACAAUAUGUUUAAGCAUAUUUUCGGAAAAGAAAAGUUGAAAAAUUUCUAAUAUUGAUGAUUUAUCAUCAAUAAUUGCUUUAAUUCCUGGUAGAUUUUCAUCAAAAUUAAAAACUUUUGGAAUCAAAUUUUGCGCACUCCAAAGAAAUUGCCGUGGAUUAAUUUCGGAAUUAGAUUCCGAGCUACUUGACAGUAGGCGCUUCUUGUGAUAUGUAUUUUUAUUUUUACCUGUGUAUCUAAUUUGUCCAAAAAUUUCAGAAUUGUCAGAAUCUGAUGACAGUUCCAUAUCAUCGCAGGCCAUAUUCAUCAAUUUGUCCAUGAUGGAGGUACAAUUUAUGGAUAUUAUAUUUAAUUUUUGUGAAAAAAGACUCUGAACAAGAUAUGUAUGCUGCCAGUGUGUCGAAAGAAAACGAUUGAAUGUGCAUUAUUGGGAAGUUGUUGAUAAUAAAUGAAUGCAUCGCCUAAAGGCGCUGUUCGCUCAGAGAAGGCGUCUCUGGCUAAGUACCUAUAGGCGCUGUUCGCUCCGAGGCAGCGACUAUGGCUAAGCGCCUAUAAGCGCUGUUCGUAGGCAAAGGGUUAAUUAGGCCAGAUGGUAAAAAGAAAGCAUGUGUACGCUUAACUCGUGAUUAUGAUGUACUUAAUGUUGCUAAUAAGGUUGGAAUAAUAUAAAUAUAUCUAUAUGUGAUUGAUAUGGAAGGAAAAGUGUAUAUAGAUGUAUUUAUAUGUAAUUAAUAUGGAAAGAAAAGUGUAUCUGUGCAAUAAAGCAUGUUGAUAUAAAAAA
rnacentral:lncRNA from 1 species